rnacentral:rRNA from 1 species
CAAGUAGGCGGCCGCGUAUGUCGCCUGUGAAAGCCCUCGGCUCAACCGAGGAAUCGCAGACGAAACUGCAUGGCUUGAGUCCGGGAGAGGGUAGCGGAAUUCCCAGUGUAGCGGUGAAAUGCGUAGAUAUUGGGAGGAACACCUGUGGCGAAGGCGGCUACCUGGACCGGUACUGACGCUAAACUGCGAAAGCUAGGGGAGCGAACG